UUGGCCGGGACCUGGAGAGUGUGUCCAGCGGUCUCAGGAAGCUGAAACGUCUGUCCCACGCCUUUGAUGAUGUCAUAGGGAGAGACGACCGAAGAACCUUCAACUACUCUCUAAUUGCAGAGUGAAUAUGCAGGUCCUGUGCAGCAGAGCGUUAUGGAGGGGUGAGGAGGUUGGACCCCAGCGGGAGGCUGGGCUGCUCCUCCUUCACAGAGCCAAACGUCUCCUACCAGCUCAGUCUCACGUCAGAGUUAGACGUUGCUCCAUGUUUCUCGAACGUCAAAUUGCAAAGUUUUUUAAAAUAUUGAGUUUAGGCAUUUAACUCAAAUUUGUAAGAUUUAGGGUUAAGUUCAGGCUGGUUUCCCCCCUCAGACAUAGAUGGGUUAAGUUCACGCUGGUUUCCCCCUCAGCUCCCGACGUCCUCAGACAUAGAUGGGUUAAGUUCAGGCUGGU